GUCCACGCCCUAAACGAUGCGAACUGGAUGUUGGGCUCAACUCGGAGCUCAGUGUCGAAGCUAACGCGUUAAGUUCGCCGCCUGGGGAGUACGGUCGCAAGACUGAAACUCAAAGGAAUUGACGGGGCCCGCACAAGCGGUGGAGUAUGUGGUUUAAUUCGAUGCAACGCGAAGAACCUUACCUGGUCUUGACAUGUCUGGAACCCUGCAGAGAUGCGGGGGUGCCUUCGGGAACCAGAACACAGGUGCUGCAUGGCUGUCGU
rnacentral:rRNA from 1 species